rnacentral:rRNA from 1 species
GACGAACGCUGGCGGCGUGCUUAACACAUGCAAGUCGAACGGAAAGGCCCUGCUUUUGUGGGGUGCUCGAGUGGCGAACGGGUGAGUAACACGUGAGUAACCUGCCCUUGACUUUGGGAUAACUUCAGGGAACUGGGGCUAAUACCGGAUAGGAGCUCCUGCUGCAUGGUGGGGGUUGGAAAGUUUCGGCGGUUGGGGAUGGACUCGCGGCUUAUCAGCUUGUUGGUGGGGUAGUGGCUUACCAAGGCUUUGACGGGUAGCCGGCCUGAGAGGGUGACCGGCCACAUUGGGACUGAGAUACGGCCCAGACUCCUACGGGAGGCAGCAGUGGGGAAUAUUGCACAAUGGGCGGAAGCCUGAUGCAGCAACGCCGCGUGCGGGAUGACGGCCUUCGGGUUGUAAACCGCUUUCGCCUGUGACGAAGCGUGAGUGACGGUAAUGGGUAAAGAAGCACCGACUAACUACGUG